ensembl:lncRNA
AGGGGGCGGGGACUACGCGGGGCGGUAGCUGGCGCCGAGCGCGGUGGGAGAGGAGAGGGUACCCGGCUGGCUCGGCUGGCGGCCUCUGCCAGGAUCUCGGCGCCGCAGUCCUGCGCCUCUCCCACCCCUGUCUCCGGCUCCGCGGCCCCGGGCACGGCGGAGGCAGCGGAGCCCUGGGCCAUCGUACCUGGAGUAGAACAGAAAAAUUAUUAUGUCUGUGUUCCCUUGGGACUCAUUGGAAAUUGUACAGUGACAUCUUCUGGGAUUUAGUCUGGAU